rfam:Schistosoma mattheei strain Denwood, Zambia genome assembly, scaffold: SMTD_scaffold0000350
AUCCAGCUGACGAGUCUCAAAUGGGACGAAGUGCUCGUCUUGGAU